GAUGAACGCUAGCUACAGGCUUAACACAUGCAAGUCGAGGGGCAGCAUGAACUUAGCUUGCUAAGUUUGAUGGCGACCGGCGCACGGGUGAGUAACACGUAUCCAACCUUCCGUUUACUCAGGGAUAGCCUUUCGAAAGAAAGAUUAAUACCUGAUAGUAUGGUGAGAUUGCAUGAUAACACCAUUAAAGAUUUAUUGGUAAACGAUGGGGAUGCGUUCCAUUAGGUAGUAGGCGGGGUAACGGCCCACCUAGCCUGCGAUGGAUAGGGGUUCUGAGAGGAAGGUCCCCCACAUUGGAACUGAGACACGGUCCAAACUCCUACGGGAGGCAGCAGUGAGGAAUAUUGGUCAAUGGGGCGAGAGCCUGAACCAGCCAAGUAGCGUGAAGGAUGACUGCCCUAUGGGUUGUAAACUUCUUUUAUAAAGGAAUAAAGUCGGGUAUGGAUACCCGUUUGCAUGUACUUAUGAAUAAGGAUCGGCUAACUCCGUGCCAGCGGCC
rnacentral:rRNA from 1 species